UCAGAAGCAGUGGGAAAAGGUGGCACCUCGGGGCUCAGCUCGAACUGCAAGCACCCCACGGAGAGCUGGGACUCCAGGAAAGAAGGAAGUGAGCGGUGAUACGCAGAACUGGUCACCUUGAGAAUGAAUCCCCAGUGUGACAGCAUCAGAAGUGAGGUUUGUGAGAGCUCUUGGGCAGACAGUGUCCAUCCCAUGCAGAGGACACAGCACGCCUCUCUCGACAGCUGAGAUCACCCCUCACUCAACGCCAAACCUGCCGCCGCCUCAACCUUGGACUUGCAGCCUCCAGAGCUUCGAGAAAUAAGCAUUGCCGUGUUCUGAAUUCUCCACUCAGGGAUGCUUUUCUUUUUCAGCCUGGGACUGGAGAGAUGGUUCAGCACUGACUGCUCUUCCAGAGGACCCAGGUUCAAUUCCCAGCACCCACAUGGCAGCUCACAACUGUCUGUAACUCCAGUUCCGGGCUGUCUGGCACCCUUACACAGACACACGUGCAGGCAAAAUGCCAGUGCACAUAAAAA